GAUCAUGGCUCAGGAUGAACGCUGGCGGCGUGCUUCAUACAUGCAAGUCGAACGAGAAUUGGUAGCUUGCUACCAAGGAAAGUGGCGGACGGGUGAGUAAUACAUAGGGAAUCUGCCCUUAGCCGGGGGACAACAGUUGGAAACGACUGCUAAUACCGCAUAUGAGUAUGGUUGAGAUACUAUACUUGAAAACUCCGGUGGCUAAGGAUGAGCCUGUGCCUGAUUAGUUAGUUGGCGGGGUAAAGGCCCACCAAGGCGACGAUCAGUAGCUGGUUUGAGAGGAUGAUCAGCCACAAUGGGACUGAGACACGGCCCAUACUCCUACGGGAGGCAGCAGUAGGGAAUUUUGCGCAAUGGGCGAAAGCCUGAACCGCAGCAACGCCGCGUGUGUGAUGAAGCCCCUAGGGGUGUAAAACACUGUCAGUGGGGACGAAAGAUGACGGUACCCACAGAGGAAGCACCGGCUAACUCCGUGCCAGCCGCGGC
rnacentral:rRNA from 1 species